rnacentral:rRNA from 1 species
UACGAAGGGUACAAACGUUGCUCGGAAUUACUGGCGUAAAGGCGUGCGCAGGCGGUGAUGUAAGACCGAUGUGAAAUCCCCGGGCUUAACCUGGGAACUGCAUUUGUGACUGCAUCGCUGGAGUGCGGCAGAGGGGGAUGGAAUUCCGCGUGUAGCAGUGAAAUGCGUAGAUAUGCGGAGGAACACCGAUGGCGAAGGCAAUCCCCUGGGCCUGCACUGACGCUCAUGCACGAAAGCGUGGGGAGCAAACAGG